UACGUAGGGGGCGAGCGUUGUCCGGAGUUACUGGGCGUAAAGCGCACGCAGGCGGUCUGCUAAGUUUGGAGUGACAGUUGGCGGCUUAACUGCCAAAGUGCUUCGAAAACUGACAGACUUGAGGGCUUCAGAGGGACACGGAAUUCCGGGUGGAGUGGUGAAAUGCGUAGAGAUCCGGAGGAACACCAAAGGCGAAGGCAGUGUCCUGGGGAGUAACUGACGCUCAGGUGCGAAAGCCAGGGGAGCGAACGGG
rnacentral:rRNA from 1 species